CCUACGGGUGGCAGCAGUGGGGGAUAUUGCACAAUGGGGGGAACCCUGAUGCAGCGACGCCGCGUGGGUGAAGGAGUGCUUCGGCAUGUAAAGCCCUAUCGGCAGGGAAGAAGCAAGACGGUACCUGACUAAGAAGCCCCGGCUAACUACGUGCCAGCAGCCGCGGUAAUACGUAGGGGGCGAGCGUUAUCCGGAUUCACUGGGGGUAAAGGGAGCGUAGGCGGCCAUGCAAGCAAGGGGUGAAAGCCCGGGGGCCAAACCGGGGACUGCCCGUGAAACUGUGCGGCGAGAGUGCGGGAGGGGCAGGCGGAAUUCCUGGUGUAGCGGUGAAAUGCGUAGAGAUCAGGAGGAACACCGGCGGCGAAGGCGGCCUGCUGGACCGCGACUGACGUUGAGGCUCGAAAGCGUGGGGAGCGAACAGGAUUAGAUACCCCAGUAGUC
rnacentral:rRNA from 1 species